rnacentral:rRNA from 1 species
CGUGUAGUAUGGAAUUCCAGACAUAUCCAGAACACACCACCCCGCACAAUGUGUUCUUGUUUCUGCUUCUCUCCCGAAAGAAACAGGAGCUUCGAGUACCCUCCCAAAUUCUCGCGGCCGACCUCUCCCCUCUCUUCCCCGGUGAACGCGGGAUUUGAGUUGGGCAAGGAUCCCUACCCUUGUAUAGUUGUGCUUGUAAUUAGGGUCUGAAUCAAUUGGAUUUGGCUUCAAGAUUUCGUCGGUGUAUUUCCUUCAGAUCUAGCCGUGCAGGCCGCCGGAGACAGAGAUGAUAGUGACGGUUGUUGCCAUAUCCGAGUCUGUUCGAUAUAGCCCUUUUUUCUGUGCUGCCCAUGGAGGAUUAGAGGCUACCAGCGGCAGGACUGGCAUGAGUAGGCCUAGGUGUUGCGGGCGCGGAGGAUUUCUGACGGUGGUGAGCUACUCGUUCCCUGCGGCGCCCAGUGCCAAACUGAACAAUUGAACAUGAAGACGAGUAGAUAGAGGGCAGCCUCACAGGUUGGCGCUGUUGCCAGGGACAGCAAGGGCCACGUUUUCGUCUCUGUAUGCAGAAUGCUGACCCCCAGUCGAAGUGUUGAGGAGGCCGAGGCAAAAUCUGCCCUCGCCGGACUGCAGGCUCUUGCAAAAUACUACAUCGGGCCUUUGAUCCUGGAGAUGGAUUGCCAUGCAAUCAUAAAAGAGCUAGCUGCGGGAGACCAAUCCAGAUCACAGUGCUAUGCCUGAUCAAGGAUAUUAAACAAGCACUCUCAGUUUUUCAGCUUACAGUGUCAGCCAUGUGGUAAGAACUUGCAAUGCUCAUGCUCCUGAGCUUGCAGCGGCAACCAGAAAUGUGAGCGACCAGGAGAUCAUCGUAAACGUCCCGGAUAAACUCCGUCCACUGAUGAUGUCUGAAUUUGUAUCUCAUGUAGAGUAGUUUCCUACUCUAGAUCUAAAAAAAGGGGCAGCCAUGCAGAGAUGUCACUGACGAUGAAGGUGAGGCCAUCGAGUCUAUUAUUGUGUUAGUUUGUUUCAAAGAAAUCACGCUAAUUUCUCUCAAUAUAGAAAUUAGUCAUGGAGCAGGCUUCAGGGAAGACUAUCGAUCUAGAACUGGUUGUAUGUCCAUGAGCAAUUUUCUGUUGCUCUGACUGUACGGACAGCCUCUGUAAUUUAGCCAAACAUCAUCGCACCGUGCCAUUACUUAGCUUUUUGCACACAAUUCUUGUUUGUUACGGUGGUGCCAAACUGCCAAUAGAAGACAAGUUGACCUGUUGAACAACGCCACAAAUGCAUAGUUGUAUGUUAUCUAGGGUUGUACGACCUUGAGUUACAAGAGGUCCAGUACUAAUUUUGUGUGUGUGUGCGUACAUGUGCAUUCACCCGUUCUACAUACACAUGAUUUCAAAGUAUCUUUUACUGUACAUUUUGUUUCUUUGCUGAGUUCAAAUUGCAAGUAUUGUUCAUUGUUUUUUCAUUUUGUCUAAAUAUACUACAAACUCUCUAAAGGCUCAACUUUUUC